rnacentral:rRNA from 1 species
CCUACGGGAGGCUGCAGUGAGGAAUUUUGCGCAAUGGCCGCAAGGCUGACGCAGCAACGCCGCGUGGGUGAUGAAGGCCUUCGGGUCGUAAAGCCCUGUCAGGUGGGAAGAAAGGUUUCAAGGGGAAAGACUUGGGAUUUGACGGUACCACCAGAGGAAGCACCGGCUAACUCCGUGCCAGCAGCCGCGGUAAUCCGGAGGGUGCGAGCGUUAUUCGGAAUUACUUAGGGUAGGGCGCGUGUAGGCGGGGAAAGCCCUGGGCUUAACCUUGGAAGUGCAUUGGAAACUGUUUUUCUUGAGUACUGGAGAGGAAGGGGGAAUUCCCGGUGUAGAGGUGAAAUUCGUAGAGAUCGGGAGGAAUACCAGUGGCGUAGGCGCCCUUCUGGACGGUAACUGACGCUGAGACGCGAAAGCGUGGGGAGCAAACAGGAUUAGAUACCCUAGUAGUC